rnacentral:rRNA from 1 species
UGCAAGUCGAACGGUAACAGGCCGCAAGGUGCUGACGAGUGGCGAACGGGUGAGUAAUGCAUCGGAACGUGCCCAGUCGUGGGGGAUAACGCAGCGAAAGCCGCGCUAAUACCGCAUACGAUCUAUGGAUGAAAGCGGGGGACCGUAAGGCCUCGCGCGAUUGGAGCGGCCGAUGUCAGAUUAGGUAGUUGGUGGGGUAAAGGCUCACCAAGCCAACGAUCUGUAGCUGGUCUGAGAGGACGACCAGCCACACUGGAACUGAGACACGGUCCAGACUCCUACGGGAGGCAGCAGUGGGGAAUUUUGGACAAUGGGCGCAAGCCUGAUCCAGCAAUGCCGCGUGCAGGAAGAAGGCCUUCGGGUUGUAAACUGCUUUUGUACGGAACGAAACGGUCUGAGUUAAUACCUCGGGCUAAUGACGGUACCGUAAGAAUAAGCACCGGCUAACUACGUGCCAGCAGCCGCGGUAAUACGUAGGGUGCAAGCGUUAAUCGGAAUUACUGGGCGUAAAGCGUGCGCAGGCGGUGAUGUAAGACAGUCGUGAAAUCCCCGGGCUCAACCUGGGAAUUGCGAUUGUGACUGCAUCGCUGGAGUGCGGCAGAGGGGGAUGGAAUUCCGCGUGUAGCAGUGAAAUGCGUAGAUAUGCGGAGGAACACCGAUGGCGAAGGCAAUCCCCUGGGCCUGCACUGACGCUCAUGCACGAAAGCGUGGGGAGCAAACAGGAUUAGAUACCCUGGUAGUCCACGCCCUAAACGAUGUCAACUGGUUGUUGGGUCUCUUCUGACUCAGUAACGAAGCUAACGCGUGAAGUUGACCGCCUGGGGAGUA